AGGUUACUUUGAAGACCGCCGCCCCU
rnacentral:piRNA from 1 species